GGCGCUGUAGUGUAGAGGUUAUCACGGGAGAUUCUGAUUCCAGAAGCUUCUCUUAACCCAGGUUCGAGUCCUGGCAGUGCCU
rfam:Phlebia centrifuga strain FBCC195 PHLCENscaffold_2430, whole genome shotgun sequence.